rnacentral:tRNA from 1 species
GUUUUAAUAAUUUAAUAAAAAUAUUGGUCUUGUAAACCAAAGAUAAGUAAGCCUUUUAAAACU